rnacentral:rRNA from 1 species
AGUUUGAUCCUGGCUCAGGAUGAACACUAGCUACAGGCUUAACACAUGCAAGUCGAGGGGCAUCGGGAUUGAAGCUUGCUUCAAUUGCCGGCGACCGGCGCACGGGUGAGUAACGCGUAUCCAACCUUCCGUACACUCAGGGAUAGCCUUUCGAAAGAAAGAUUAAUACCUGAUGGUAUGAUGAGAUUGCAUGAUAGCAUCAUUAAAGAUUUAUCGGUGUACGAUGGGGAUGCGUUCCAUUAGGUAGUAGGCGGGGUAACGGCCCACCUAGCCGACGAUGGAUAGGGGUUCUGAGAGGAAGGUCCCCCACAUUGGAACUGAGACACGGUCCAAACUCCUACGGGAGGCAGCAGUGAGGAAUAUUGGUCAAUGGACGAGAGUCUGAACCAGCCAAGUAGCGUGAAGGAUGAAGGUCCUACGGAUUGUAAACUUCUUUUAUAAGGGAAUAAAAUCUCCCACGUGUGGGAGCUUGUAUGUACCUUAUGAAUAAGCAUCGGCUAACUCCGUGCCAGCAGCCGCGGUAAUACGGAGGAUGCGAGCGUUAUCCGGAUUUAUUGGGUUUAAAGGGAGCGCAGACGGGUCGUUAAGUCAGCUGUGAAAGUUUGGGGCUCAACCUUAAAAUUGCAGUUGAUACUGGCGUCCUUGAGUGCGGUUGAGGUGUGCGGAAUUCGUGGUGUAGCGGUGAAAUGCUUAGAUAUCACGAAGAACUCCGAUUGCGAAGGCAGCACACUAAGCCGUAACUGACGUUCAUGCUCGAAAGUGUGGGUAUCAAACAGGAUUAGAUACCCUGGUAGUCCACACGGUAAACGAUGGAUACUCGCUGUUGGCGAUAUACGGUCAGCGGCUUAGCGAAAGCGUUAAGUAUCCCACCUGGGGAGUACGCCGGCAACGGUGAAACUCAAAGGAAUUGACGGGGGCCCGCACAAGCGGAGGAACAUGUGGUUUAAUUCGAUGAUACGCGAGGAACCUUACCCGGGCUUAAAUUGCAAAGGAAUAAUCUGGAAACAGAUUAGUCUUCGGACCUUUGUGAAGGUGCUGCAUGGUUGUCGUCAGCUCGUGCCGUGAGGUGUCGGCUUAAGUGCCAUAACGAGCGCAACCCUCGCCGCCAGUUACUAACAGUUAAAGCUGAGGACUCUGGCGGGACUGCCAUCGUAAGAUGUGAGGAAGGUGGA